rnacentral:rRNA from 1 species
UACGGAGGGAGCUAGCGUUGUUCGGAAUUACUGGGCGUAAAGCGCACGUAGGCGGCUUUUGUAAGUUAGAGGUGAAAGCCCGGAGCUCAACUCCGGAAUUGCCUUUAAGACUGCAUCGCUUGAAUCCGGGAGAGGUGAGUGGAAUUCCGAGUGUAGAGGUGAAAUUCGUAGAUAUUCGGAAGAACACCAGUGGCGAAGGCGGCUCACUGGACCGUAUUGACGCUGAGGUGCGAAAGCGUGGGGAGCAAACAG